rnacentral:ribozyme from 1 species
ACCAUUAUUGCGGGAUUCAAAACCGCGUGCAAAGAGGGAGUAAAGUAUUUGAAGGAGAAGCUCUCAAAGAGCGUCGCAACUUUGGAUGAGUCCGUAGUCCGAAGCAUCG